CCCUAGCCCCGAUAGAAGCGGAAAUCCUUUUUGUGGCGGGGUUCGCCACAAAAAGAUUGAAGCGGAUAGCGGGAUUUAGC
rfam:Flavobacterium johnsoniae TW101, complete genome.